GCCUUAAACCCAAAUGUCAAAUCGUAGCCCCAAACUGCUUUCCCAUUUCUAGUCAUUCGAAGUUUGAUCUCCGAAGUGUGAGGUCGAAUAUAAAAUUGAGAGUCUGAUAUUUUUUGAAUAUUAAAAAUAUUGUGUCGGAAUUUUCCCGUAUUUAAAUUAGUAUUUGUCAGUUAUAAUUUUAUUUCAAAAUGGUGACAGUAAAAGCCCAAGAGGAGACCCAACAUCCCAAACAGACCCACAAGAACCGAUCGGUAUUUAAUCCGGACAAGCGUACUGGUCACGUAGCGACGAAACCCGUCGCCAAACCAUUCAAGAGAUUCGUGAGGAACCCAACUGGGGGUCCAACCACAUCAUGCGGGGACAAGUGUGACGGAUCUCAAGUUAAUCCUCAAAUUUAAUUGUCAGCGAAAUGCGCCUCCAAUUUGUGCCACGUCCGAUUUGAUGGCUGUAGGAUUCCACAGAGGUUCGAGCAGCUGACCAGACACUGGUGUUACCCCAACGAGAUGCAAACCGUUCUACGCAAUCCUUACAACAAGUGGCACAAAUAGGCGCAGUCGCCUCUGACACGUACUUAUGUGUUCUACAAAACAAAUUCGAGGGAUGUUAAAGUUUAUAUUUCUGGAACUGCUGUAUUCCAAAAAUUGUUCUGAGUUUCAAUAAAUUGUUUAUGGCCGAGUCAGUAACUAUUAA